AAUAUCUAAAAAGUGUGCAACCCCAGUCUUGGACGAAAAAGCCAAAUGCACCAUGACUCCGGAAGUUCCUGAUGUGAGAAGAGAAUUGUCUGUUGUUCCUCCAAUACGUUUAAACACAUCUAAAGACAAAACUCCAGGAACAGAUAAAACACCUCCAGAUACGCCUUUGUCUGACGCAACAAGACAGCAGAUUGCAAACCUAAAAGAUAAUGAUGUGUUUAAAGUUGUUCUGCCACCCCGCUCUUCUCGAUGCAAUACUGGAUGUUUAGAGGCUC